AUAUGUCCAAGCUUAAAGUGUUUAAAAUGAAAAGAUGUGAUAAAUUAGUACUAAACACUGUAGUUGUGCAACACGUGUGAGGAAAAAACCACAUGCAAAUAUCUGUCUAUCUAUCUAUCUAUCUAUCUAUCUAUCUAACACAACCUUUGAUCAAUAUGUCCUUGUUAUGUAUUUAAUUAGUCAGGGGCGAUUAUCCAAACCUUUAAUCUCUUCC